UAUAAAAGCAGGAUGCAAAAUGGACAUAUCAGCCGCCAAGGCUGUGUUGUCGGUUCUCCGAGGACUCACCAUGUCACUCGCACCGGAUGGCCUGCAUCCACGUCCGUGUAUGUUGACGUGGAGGCUUUUGUUGAGGGUGGCGACCCUGGUAGUCAAGAACAAAAAGAUGGAUAAAUAGCACUAGCACCUGAUGUCUAUGGCAGCAAUUAGGUCAAGUUCUGCUUUCAUACUUAGUGCUCGAGGCAUGUUGUUUUAUCUUUUUCUCAUGUUCUUGUUUUUUAGUACACGAUUUGAUUGAUUCUACAAACAAGAACAAGAUAAAACAAUCCGUUGUUAGCUCAAUUGCAGGCAUCAUUAGAGUUGGCUUCUGUUCAUUAUUCGUUUGUUGUAAACUUAUAUCUGUAUUGUUGUGGUUAAGUCUAAAGAUGGCAAACUGGGUUUUAAAAAGUUUCGUGUACCAUUUUUAGAUGAUAACACCUAGUAUGCCAUGGGGAAAAACUGCUAACUCAAACCAUAUGGCAGCUUGUCUUAUUUGUCCAUUGUAAUUGUCAUUGUCUUACCUUGGCAACUAAAUAUACUUCAAUUAGAGUUCUUGUUGCAUAAUAUUUGUAGCAUGCAAUUUUCUCUUCUAUAUCAUGGUACAAAUCCUUAUUUUUCCAUGUUUUUGAAUAAACAAAUUCCUAAAUUUGCCAUGUUCCCUUGGGAAAAUUCCUAAUUUUUUAUCUCUUUCAAAGAACAAUUCUCCUAAUUUUACCAUGUGCCCAUGGCAAACUCCUAAUUUUGCCAUCUUUUUUUAAAUAGAAAUAUUAAAAUCUGCCAUGUGCCCUUGGCAAUUUGCUACAUUCACCAUGUAUGUUAAAGAAUAAAUCUCCUAAAUUUUCCAUGUGUCCAUUUUUCAAAAAAAAACUUGCCAUAUUUUUUACGGAGCAUUUUUUUAAAAAUACUUUUGUUCCACGGCACCUUAAGUUCUGUACUAUAUGCAUAGACAUGCCAUGACAAACUUUUUAAAGAUGAUUUUUUCCGUGGCAUUUUAAUUUGUAUUAGAUAUAUGUUCAUUACAUGGUAUAUUUGCUUGCUUUUAUCUAUAAACUAACCACAGCAAACUUUCCAAUAUUUUGCCACUUUAAGUUAUAUAUAUAGGGUGGGUCUAUUCUAAUAACACCCCUUAAGACCUUAUUCUGCUAACACCUCCUCUUAUUCUACUAACACCCGAAACAAACAAAUCAACCAAUCCCCACCCCACCUCCCGCACGCCACCUACCCUAAUCCAAGCCGGCCCAGCGCGGCCCACCUUCUCCGGCGAGAUGCGCACCACCCGAGCAGUCGCCCCACCCUCCCCACCUUCUCUGCGCGCGGCGCGUCCUACCCGAAACGAAUCCCGGCUUCCUCGCCUCCUCCUGCUCCCGGCCGGCGCCGCCCCGACGCCUCCUCCUCAUAGCCGGCGCCACCCCGACUCCUCUACCUCCUGGUCGGCAUCAUCGCACCUUCUAUUCGUCACCCCGACCACCUACUCCGGUCACACCUCCCCCAACUCCGCCGCCGGGCACUGCCCCACCACCUCCACUGCCUCGUGCUGCUGUCGCCCUUGCUCGCGAGGCCCCCUCCACCUUCUCCAAUCACGGCCCCUACCACUACCUCCUACCACUUCGCUUCGCCGCUGGCCAGCGGGGGAGCCGGAUCCCCACGCCACCAGGGCUACCGUGAGCCAUCUCCGUCCUCCUAGAUACCAACUCCCCCUGCCAGCGCCGCCCAACCCCUGGCCACUCGCCCCUCCCCCUCAGCUGCGUGGUGGCCGACGACUUCGGUGGCUCUCCGUCCACGGAUUCGGCCGUCCCCCGACCACUGGACCACGGGCAGUGAGUUCCUCAGGUGAGAUCUCCGACGGCCUCCGACGAGAUCUCCUGCAUCCCCUUCCCUCCUGUGAGCUGGCCUGAAGACAGUCGAGGCUCCCGAUGCAGUUUGAUUUCGUGGGUGGCGUUGUGCGGUGUGUGUGUCUUGCAGCUCAGAGCGAGCGGGCAUGCAGCUCUGAACGAUUCGGCCGCCUGCACACACUGAAUCCAUCUCAGUCCCGCGAGCGGCAGUAGCUACGGGAGCAUAGCAGCAGGUGGCGGUGUCCCAAGGAGGUCGUUUGAUCCAUUGCUCGUGGCCUCCGCUUGCUCCACCGCUAGCUGCUAUCUCUAAACAUCAUAGCUUCUGCUGCCGACUGCAGCUUGUUUGUGCGCACAAAGAAGAAAUAAAAGGGAAAAGGCACAUACGGUGGUGGAAGGAUAAGAAGUGUGUGGCGAGGCUAGUCUAUGGAUGAAAUCUUUGCAUCUUUUUCAGCUCAUCCAACAUGUGUGCGCGGUUCAUUUUCCCCAAAAAUGUGUGGUCCACUUUCAACACCCCUGUACCUGCUCUGCUCUAUAGGACGGUGAUCGCAGGCUGUUCGCUUCUGUUUGGGCAGGAUAUUGUGCAAAAUUCCCAGUUUUUUGUGGUUUGCUCGCUAUGUAAAAAAUGUAGUUUAUUUGUAACGAUGCUUGUGGUUUGCUUGCUAUUUAAAAAGUGUAGUCCAUCCCAUCGGUCAUGUUUUUUGAGAAAACAAUUUGUAUUGUCACACAUGGUGGUUUCACUUAUGUGUAUGCUUGCAAUGCGGUGUGUGUAUGCGUGCAGUGCGCUCCUGUGGUUUCCUUUGUAACGACAAUAAAAAACCAUCACACAGAAGUUAAUUUCCUUUUAGAUUUACUUCACUA